GGGGAAGUGGCGAAAUGGCAGACGCGCAUGCCUUAGGAGCAUGUGUCUUAAUCGACGUGCGGGUUCGAAUCCCGCCUUCCCCACCA
rnacentral:tRNA from 2 species